rnacentral:rRNA from 1 species
GAUGAACGCUGGCGGCGUGCCUAAUACAUGCAAGUCGAGCGAACAGAUAAGGAGCUUGCUCCUUUGACGUUAGCGGCGGACGGGUGAGUAACACGUGGGUAACCUACCUAUAAGACUGGAAUAACUCCGGGAAACCGGGGCUAAUGCCGGAUAACAUUUAGAACCGCAUGGUUCUAAAGUGAAAGAUGGUUUUGCUAUCACUUAUAGAUGGACCCGCGCCGUAUUAGAUAGUUGGUAAGGUAACGGCUUACCAAGGCAACGAUACGUAGCCGACCGGAGAGGGGGGUAGCCGACACGGGAAGUGGACCACGGUCAAGAGUCCUGCGGGAGGCAGCAGUAGGGUACCGUACGCAGUGGGCGAAAGCCUGACGGAGCAACGCCGCGUGAGUGAUGAAGGUGUUCGGAUCGUAAAACUCUGUUAUGAGGGAAGAACAAAUGUGUAAGUAACUGUGCACGUCUUGACGGUACCUAAUCAGAAAGCCACGGCUAACUACGUG